AUGGGCUGCGCCCCGAGCAUCCACAUUUCCGACAACCGAGGGUUGAACCACAGCGACGACGAGGACGUGGACGUCCCGGGCCCCGCGCCGAGGUCUAGACAGCGAUGGUCGACCGCGCCCGCGCUCGUGGAGCCCCAGCCUCGAGACACCGGCGCCUCGAAGGUAUCAGUAGCUGAUGUGCAAUUUGGCCCGAUGAGAUUUCAUCAAGACCAACUUCAGGUACUUUUAGUGUUUACCAAAGAAGAUAACCAGUGUAAUGGAUUCUCCAGGGCAUGUGAAAAAGCCGGGUUUAAGUGCACAGUCACCAAGGAGGUGCAGGCUGUCCUUGCCUGUUUCCAGGAUAAACUCCAUGACAUCAUCAUCAUAGAUUACAGAAAUCCCCGACAGAUGGACGCAGAGGCACUGUGCAGGUCUAUCAGAUCGUCAAAAUUCUCAGAAAACACAGUUAUUGUUGGUGUAGUACGCAGGGUGGACAAAGAAGAGGUGUCUUUAAUGCCCUUCCUUGCUGCUGGCUUCACACGGAGGUAUGUAGAAAACCCCAACGUCAUGUCCUGUUACAAUGAACUGCUCCAGUUGGCGUUUGGAGAGGUGCGGUCACAACUGAAACUCAGGGCUUGUAACUCAGUGUUUACUGCGUUAGAGAAAAGUCAAGAAGCAAUUGAAAUCACGAGUGAAGACCACAUUAUACAGUAUGCAAAUCCUGCAUUUGAAACAACAAUGGGUUAUCAGUCAGGAGAAUUAAUAGGGAAGGAGUUAGCACAAGUGCCCAUAAAUGACAAGAAAGGUGAUUUGCUUGAUGCCAUAAAUUCAUGUGUCACAAUUGACAAGGAGUGGCAAGGAGUUUAUCAUACCCGGAAGAAAAAUGGAGAUAACAUACAGCAAAAUGUGAAGAUAAUACCUGUCAUUGGGCAGGGAGGAAAAAUCAGACACUAUGUGUCCAUUAUCAGAGUGUGCAAUGGCAACAGUAAGGUUGAGACCACAACCGAGUGUGUUCAGACGGAUAGUCAAACAGAUAAUCAGGCAGGCAAACAUAAAGACAGGAGGAAACAUUCCAUGGAUGCCAAAGCGGUUUCCUCCAGAGCAAGCGAUGUUUCCAAUCAGAGAAGACAUUCCUCCUUGGCCCGGAUACAUUCUAUGAUGAUUGAAGCACCUAUCACCAAGGUAAUCAAUAUUAUCAACGCUGCCCAGGAAAACAGUCCUAUGCCUGUGACAGAAGCCUUGAACCGCGUGCUGGAUAUUCUGAGAACCACUGAGUUGUACUCACCGCAGUUUAAUGCUGAAGAUGACCCUCACGCCACCGACCUUGUUGGGGGCCUAAUGUCCGAUGGCUUACGAAGGUUUUCAGGAAAUGAGUAUGUUCUUGCAACAAAGAACUUUCAGCCAUCCUCCAGCAACAUGGUCGCCCCCAUCUCCCUCCAUGAUAUCCCACCACAGAUUGCCCUGGCCAUAGAAAAUGAAGAGCAAUGGGACUUUGACAUCUUUGAGCUGGAAGCGGCAACCCAACAUAGGCCUCUGAUUUAUCUAGGUCUCAAAAUAUUUGCUCGUUUUGGAAUGUGUGAAUUCUUACAGUGUUCUGAGGCAACGCUGAGAUCAUGGUUUCAAAUUAUUGAGACCAAUUACCAUUCUUCUAACCCCUACCACAAUUCCACACACGCUGCAGAUGUGCUUCACGCCACCGCGUAUUUCCUUUCCAGAGACAAAAUAAAGGAAACUCUAGAUCGCAUUGACGAGGCUGCUGCCCUCAUUGCUGCUGCCAUCCACGAUGUGGAUCACCCUGGGAGGACCAACUCCUUCCUCUGCAAUGCGGGGAACGAACUGGCCGUGCUGUACAAUGACACUGCUGUGCUGGAGAGCCACCAUGCGGCACUGGCCUUCCAGCUGACGCUUGAAAAUGACAAAUGCAACAUCUUUAAAAACAUGGAGAGGAAUGACUACCGGACACUACGCCAGAGUAUUAUUGACAUGGUCCUAGCCACGGAAAUGACAAAGCACUUUGAACAUGUUAACAAGUUUAUCAACAGCAUCAACAAGCCUUUGACAGCUAAAGAAAAUGAGGAAACUGACAGAAGUCUGGAAGACAUAGAUGCUAUGCUCAAGACUCCCGAGAGCCGGGCCCUCAUCAAGAGAAUGAUGAUUAAGUGUUCCGAUGUGUCCAACCCCUGCCGGCCCCUAGAGCACUGCAUCGAGUGGGCUGCACGCAUUUCAGAGGAAUAUUUUUCUCAGACCGACGAAGAGAAACAGCGCGACUUGCCUGUGGUGAUGGCAGUCUUUGACAGGAACACCUGCAGCAUUCCCAAGUCUCAGAUCUCCUUCAUUGACUACUUCAUCACAGACAUGUUUGACGCCUGGGAUGCCUUUGUGGACCUGCCUGACCUAAUGCAGCACCUGGAUGACAACUUCAAGUACUGGAAAGGACUGGACGAGAGGAAGCUGCUCAGCCUCCGGCCCCCUCCAGAGUAGCGUGAGGGUAUCUGAUAUGUGACCUCUGUGAAAGGGUCCCGAAGGCAUAGCAACCCCCCGGUUGAGAACCACUGCUCUGGAGUCUAGGAGAUCCAGGACAAAGAGCAAAGGGAAGAUGCACUAGGUAAGGCAAGGUUUGAGCCUGGUCCAGUUUGACAGACCCAGCCCUUGGCUUUAAAGGGCACUCUGAAUCCCAAGUAGAAUACGUGUGUUGUCAGCUUUCCAUUACAGUAACAAAUGCCUGAAACAAAGGAAAGGGGCUUGGGCUCGGUGCUCUGGAGGUUCCAGUCCAAGCCAUCCGCCAUGUGACGAGACAUCGGUGGGUGCUGACUGAGGACGGAGGAUCCAGUUCCACCACUCCCAAGUCCGAACUGGAAACUAUGCCUUUAGCCUUGGCACUGUAGGAGACCCCCACACUAGAGCACUGCAUAAAGGAAAAGACAGAUCUCUUGAGUGGAACUAGACGCUGCCGCUGGGAGUUUCAGUGGCCAAAAGACAAACGGCCUAACAUCGAAGAAAGCUCCCCUCCCCACCCACUUAGCUACACUGGCAUUCAAAAGGAAACUCAGAAACAAUGGACCGGGAGUGGAGCGCCGGCAGCUCACACAGGCCAGGAAGAGGCUGAAUCCGCGAACAAUUGUCUCAUCCUGCUGUGCCCAGAGGAAACUCGAGGCCCUCACAACUGUCACACCGGAGGCUGUGCACUCUGUUCUGUGGUUUCCAGUCAGAAAGGAAAGACUCCAAGGAAACAGAGCUCCCCGGCCACCGCUGUCAGAAAGGUCUGCACCCCGCAGCCUUGGUGUCCCAGGGAAGGCGCGCACAUCCCUGCCUCUCGGCGCCACCCUUCCGGCUUCCUUCAACCCCGCCGCUCCACAGCCUCCAACCCCACCUGCAAGGCCGGGUUCCUGGCCGGUGGAGCGGGCCCUGCUUAAUCUGAAGGGAGGACGUAAACUCAGCCGCCAGGAAGCAAUAGCAUUCAGUCAGGGGCCAAGAUCAGCACUGUGGGUGGAAGAAUGCGGGAGGGUCGGGGCAGAUCAAGGCUCUGUGCCAUUGUCCAGGAGAGUGGAAAUUAUACAGCCAGGGGGUAGACCGAUCAGGCUUUCUAAAAAUAGGGUUAGGGCUUGGAAAAUGGCUUGGUGGUCAAGGGCACACCGCUCUUCCAGGGACCAGGAUUUAGUUCGCCGCACCAACAACCACCUGUAAUUCCAGGGGCUCUGACGCCCCCUUCUGGUCUCCAGGAACACUUACACGCAUGUGUACCCUUCCACAAGCCAUACAUAAAUAAAAAUAGGGCUGUUUAGUAUACCUGGGGAUGAGAAGACAAAAAUAAUUUGGAGGGGGGCGUGGAGGUAGGGAGAUGGUUCUUGUGAAUGGAAGCUCCUGAAAAGAAGCUGUGUCUGCAGACACUGACUGGUAGAACUGCAGUCCUUGGGGUAGCCUGGAAUGUCACAGGUCCAGAGGCUAACUGCCGUAUCCCAGGGUAGCUCUCUCCUCAGAACAGUCAUUCCUUGUCCACCUGCAUCAGAACUAAACUAACAUCCUGUGACUAUGAGAGAUAUCUUCUAGGAUCCUUUGACUUAGAAAGCCACCGGCUGCCACCAACCCAAAAGCUAAGAUGUCACGGGACAGCAUCCUGGGCCUGGAGAGAAACUCCCUCAUCUCACUGUGCCUGUUCUCGGAUAUAAUUUAAACUUUAUUUGUUCUGUAAAACUAUAAAACUUCAUUAAACUGCUUCUGUGUUGAAAUUUGAA